rnacentral:lncRNA from 1 species
GGCACAGAAGUUCAUCACACCAUCACUACUCGUAUGGAGUUUAGUGAAAAGGAGGCCUCCAAACGGAUGUGAUCAAUGGGAAGGGAAGGAAAAGCAAAUGGGGAGAGGCAGGGAUGAGAGGCAUAUGGAGUCCCUGUUGCUGAUGCUUCAUUCCCUGGUCUAAGUUGGCCUCCUUGUAAGUGGUGGCACAGAGCCAGAGGCCCUCCCCUCCAGCUGCUACAGAUGAAUGUAGCAUCCCCACAGAGGAGGAG